rnacentral:rRNA from 1 species
UAAUAUAUUUGAUAAGGCAUCUUACUUAAUAUUAAAGCUUCGGCACUUGAUGAUGGGUGUGCGGCUGAUUAGAUAGUUGGCGGGGUAACGGCCCACCAAGUCUACGAUCAGUAGCUGAUGUGAGAGCCAUGAUCAGCCCACACGGGCACUGUAGACACGGGCCCGACUCCUACGGGAGGCAGCAGUAAGGAACUAUUGGGACAAUGGACGAAAGUCUGAUCCAGCCAUGCCCGCGUGAAGGAUUAAGGUCCUCUGGAUUGUAAACUUCUUUUAUAUGGGACGAAAAAAGGGCAUUCUUGUUCACUUGACGGUACCAUAUGAAUAAGCACCGGCUAACUCCGUG